rnacentral:lncRNA from 1 species
UGUAAAAGACAUCCGUACUGAUGAAAGCAUUAACGAAUCUGUAGAAGCACCCCUUGUUGUUAAAGUGAGUUCGUGAGUGUUUUCCAAUUUAAUGCAGUAAGUUCUCUCAACUCCUCCUCUACGUGGUACGUUACAUGACAUCGCAACAUGUAAAUGGGUUGCCUCUUCUCAGGCAGCACUGAGAACAUUAAACGGUAGCACUAGCAUGCUUGUUUUUUUUUCUUUCCUUUUUUUUCCUUUUUUUUUCUUAUUUCUUUUUUUUGCAUAUGCUGCCUUGUUCUUGCUUUCUCAAAACAAUCAGUAUUGUGCAGAAAGCAGUAUUGCUGCUUGAAAAUGAAUUUCUCUACAAUGACAUGCCCUGAAUUCAUUAUACGCAGUUCUGCUGCCUGAACAAAUGCUUCAAAUCUCUGUACGACAGUGACAGCCAUUUGAUACAUACUCCUUGAUGACAAUGUUCAAACCGAUUUUGUCAUGAAAUUUCCUGUGGAUUGUUGUUGAGAAUCCCGCACUAACUUUACAUCAGAUAAGAGGAAAGGAAUUUCGAGGACUAGACGACCUAAUCUUGUGGCAGGAGUUUGUGUCUGUUGGAACCACGAUAUAAGGGUUGUUGCUCAUCAUGCUGCUAUAUCCUUGACAAUGCUUUCUGAGGAUUGUACUCACUUGGUCAAGAGCUCUCAGAAAGAGGCAUGUCGGUGCAUACAUACAGGAUCAAUCUUGACAUGCUACUUGACAUAAAUAAUGCGACUGCCUGAACCCUUAAUGUUGUGAUCUUCAACGAAGCUUCUCCCCUAUGAGUGAAAAUAGAUGCAAGAAAUGUGGUUCUACUGUAAAAAGAAUUCUGGAUGGAUUUUUUUAAUCCAUGAGGGUUUUUUAUAAUGUAUUCUAUUAAUCAGACCUGACGAACAUCCAGUGUCUUGCCAGAGUUGAGAGUUGGUUUCCUGGUUGCUGUUUUGGAUCCUUGAUGUUUGUUGUCCCUGCUGCACAACGAUGUGCUGAUAUAUGCAUUAUAUAAAAUGCAUAAAUUGCAGACAAUCGACUUGUGGACGUGUCGGUGACUUUUGAUUGCACCCACAUCAAAAGAAUUAUUUCCACGGAUCCGUCUGUAUGCAGCAUGUUCAUAAAAGAAGCACUUGGUGGAGCAGCACGUCCGUGAUGAGGGUCUGUAACGCACUCUCUUCGAUUGUUCUUUCUUCAGCAUGAUUACUGUUUUUCAGCUCAUACACCAUAAUUGCGCAACGAAUUUUUUUGUGAGGGCCGCAGUCAUGCACUGUACAUAUAUAUACUUAUAUAUAUAUAUAUAUAUAUAUAUAUAUAUAGCAGUAAUCUAAGGUUCACGUAUUUUUAACUUUAGCAGCCCACGUUGCAUCCAUUAUUGUACAUGAUUUGCCAGAAGUUAUAUCCUGAAAUUCAAACUUGAAGAGCUAAUGAGGGAAAAAGUAUGUUGAAACUGUUAUGGGACUGCAGAUCUUGGAGACCCAGCAUAUCUGCAGUCAAACUAUCUGGUGAUACAACAGGCAAAACAUCCAAGAGCUACACUAUCAAGCUCUUGCAGAUGUCCUUUUUCAUGAAGAAUUAAAGAAAUAAUAAAUAAUACAUUAACAUAUAUAAAGAACAUUAUAUCACCUUCUUUUUUUUCCUUUUCCUUUUUGUUUCAAUUCAAUAAAGUUAGGACAUAGGAUGCAGGGUUUUGAGGAGAAUCAUCUACUACAACAUGCAGAAUUGACACUUAAACUCAAAAGGUAGAUAUACUAUCCCACCAAGCAUCUCACAAACAAUUACUCAUCCAAUGAAGGGAUUGAUCAAUUCCACUAAAAAACACUUGACGAAUACCAGACCUUAUUGCAUAAUGCUGUUUUAUCACACAUGUGACGCUUGCUUUGUGCAACAUGCUUCUCACAGUAUAUUCGAAGAUAAGACGUGAGCAACCGACCCAAUCGUAUCAGUUUAGAUAUUCUCGUUGCUGGCAAGGGUAUGAAUUUUUCCACAGGGAGUGAGUGAUGUUUGCCCACUGGUGCAGCCUCCGCCGACGUACCACCCAGAGCCUACAUGCUGGGAAAUUGAAACUGAUUGGUUCAGCUUUAGUUCACCAAUGAUAGAAGCUGAACCCUUUGUUGGAAUUAACGAAGAGUUUCUUUACUUUU